UAAAAAAUGACAAAAACAACAAAUUCGAUAAUUUGGACAUGACCUUGACUUUUGACCUUGUGACCUUUGUGAAGGUCAUUGGUCCACAAUGUCAUUGUAAAAGACCCCAUGGGUCUAGGACUUUUCGUUCAAGAGUUAAAGCUAAUUUUACCUUUUCAGAAACCGUUAACGGGGUUAUGCCCCUUAAGAAUAUGUCAAAUCCUUUCGGUCAAAAUGUAAAAAAGUUGUGCCUCAGUCACCUUAACAUUUUUCACUGUUUACUAUUUCUGUAAGAUUAACCGUUUUUGAGAUAUCGACUAA
rnacentral:lncRNA from 1 species